UUAUAUGGAGAGUUUGAUCCUGGCUCAGGACGAACGCUGGCGGCGUGCCUAAUACAUGCAAGUCGAGCGAACUCAAUUAAAGCUUGCUUUAUGAGAGUUAGCGGCGGACGGGUGAGUAACACGUGGGCAACCUGCCCUGUAGACUGGGAUAACUUCGGGAAACCGAAGCUAAUACCGGAUAAUUUUUGGAACCUCAUGGUUCCAAAGUGAAAGUUGGGUUUACCUAACACUACAGGAUGGGCCCGCGUCGCAUUAGCUAGUUGGUAAGGUAACGGCUUACCAAGGCGACGAUGCGUAGCCGACCUGAGAGGGUGAUCGGCCACACUGGGACUGAGACACGGCCCAGACUCCUACGGGAGGCAGCAGUAGGGAAUCUUCCGCAAUGGACGAAAGUCUGACGGAGCAACGCCGCGUGAGCGAUGAAGGCCUUCGGGUCGUAAAGC
rnacentral:rRNA from 1 species